rnacentral:rRNA from 1 species
UACGUAGGGGGCUAGCGUUGUCCGGAUUUAUUGGGCGUAAAGAGCGUGUAGGCGGCCAGGUAGGUCUGCUGUGAAAACUCGAGGCUUAACCUCGAGAUGUCGGCGGAAACCAUCUGGCUAGAGUCCGGAAGAGGAGAGUGGAAUUCCUGGUGUAGCGGUGAAAUGACGCAGAUAUCAGGAAGAACACCCGUGGCGAAGGCGGCUCUCUGGGACGGUACUGACGCUG